rnacentral:misc_RNA from 1 species
AAAAACCCUAGUCCUGAAUAAUUUCUCUUGUUCUCUAUGGACUUUGAUUUUUUCCUUUUCUCUUCGAAGUUUAAUCUGUUCUAAGCUUUUCUACCUAAUUUCGCCUGUUUUGCCACUUUUUUUUUGCUUGAUUAAGGAUUUCUAGGUCUGCUGCAGAGGUUAUAGCUUGGGGCUAAUCAUUACUAGGAUAAAUUACAUGUUAAAUUUGAUUCCCACAUUUGCCUUCAUGAAUUAUAUAUGAUCUGGGCUUGCUUUGCUUUUUUUUUUUUCUUCUCAGUUUCUUCAUUUCAUGUCUGGUUGACCGGCGUGCUGAUUCUGAUCUUUGUGUGUUUCUGGGCUUGUUUUUGUUUAUAAUUUUUCCCUUUUUUCGGUUAAAUUAUGAAGCCCAAGCUGUAACAGUAGAUCCGUGCUCUCCGUUGUCCCGUUUCAGCCCG